rnacentral:misc_RNA from 1 species
AAGUUGGCAUGCUCAAUACUCCACCUUCGAACGUUAUGCCAAGCGGCCACGCAUCUUCAGAUGCCUUAAACGUCACUCCAGCUUCAUGUAACUUGGUUGCAGAAACUAGGUAUCUAGCAUUUUUCUCGUUUGACUUCGGAGAUUGGCGACAAUAUUUACCAAGUUCAAUGCAAUGCUGGGGAGGAGGCUCGCUAUUUGGUUCUUGCUUCUUGGCUGAUGACGGAUGUUUCUGAGAUCGGUAACAUCUAAUCAGAUCAGUGAAGUGCAUGGGUUGAGGGUUCUUAUUUUCUUCUUGAUUCUGACUGGAUUCCCCCUUUUCUUGUUGAUUCUGGCCGGACUCUACACUGCGGGAGCAUUGAGUGAACCAAAAACAACAUAAACAGGACCAACAAUCCCGUGAAACCUCGAUUUGUUCUUCUUUUGGAACUUCAAUAUAAUUUGAAAAAUAUGACUUGGUGAGUUUCAAAAAAGGAGGGUAUCGCUGACCCUGAUAGGCAUGGUUGUAAAGAUCUUCAAGGAUGAAAUACGGUAUUUGAUUUUCCAGUAAAAUCAAAUCCUGUUUUAUAACAUUUCUCCGCCACGGUCUACUUACUAUGAAAUCUUUAGCAAAAUUUUUUUCCCA